GUGGAUUAGAUACCCUAGUAGUCCUGGCAGUAAACGGUGCACGUUUGGUGUGGGAGGAUUCGACCCCUUCUGCGCCGGAGCUAACGCGUUAAACGUGCCGCCUGGGGAGUACGGUCGCAAGAUUAAAACUCAAAGAAAUUGACGGGGGCCCGCACAAGCGGUGGAGUAUGUGGCUUAAUUCGAUGCAACGCGAAGAACCUUACCUGGCCUUGACAUGCAUCUCUAAGCUGGUGAAAGCCAGUGAGUCCCGAAAGGGACAAUUUGCACAGGUGCUGCACGGCCGUCGCCAACU
rnacentral:rRNA from 1 species